rnacentral:rRNA from 1 species
GAUGAACGCUGGCGGCGUGCCUAACACAUGCAAGUCGAGCGAACAGACGAGGAGCUUGCUCCUCUGACGUUAGCGGCGGACGGGUGAGUAACACGUGGAUAACCUACCUAUAAGACUGGGAUAACUUCGGGAAACCGGAGCUAAUACCGGAUAAUAUAUUGAACCGCAUGGUUCAAUAGUGAAAGACGGUUUUGCUGUCACUUAUAGAUGGAUCCGCGCCGCAUUAGCUAGUUGGUAAGGUAACGGCUUACCAAGGCAACGAUGCGUAGCCGACCUGAGAGGGUGGUCGGCCACACUGGAACUGAGACUGGGACCAGACUCCUACGGGAGGCAGCAGUAGAGAAUCUUCCGCAAUGGGCGAGAGCCUAACGGAACAACGCCGCGUGAGUGAUGAAGGUCUUCGGAUCGUAAAGCUCUGUUAUUAGGGAAGAACAAAUGUGUAAGUAACUAUGCACGUAUUGACGGUACCUGAUCAAAAAGCCACGGCUAACUACGUG